AGGCGUUAAACGUUGUCAUUGGUGUUUUGGUUGGUGGGUUUGUAUUGUUUUUCUUGUAUUUUUAUCCGUCUUUAGUAUUAAAACCUAAGAGGUUAAGAUUAAAGCUUCAAAAGCAAGGGAUUCGAGGCCCAUUACCUUCAAAUCUAUUGGGAAAUGUCUCUGAACUGAACAAAAUCAAGCUUCAGUUUAACUCAAAAAGGACUAAUACAAACGACAAACUUCAUGAUGUCGUUUCGAUUGGUCAUGAUUGGCCUUCCAACGUCUUUCCCCAUUUGUUAUUUAUUUAUUUUGUUACGGUGUGAAUUGUGAAUUGAGUUGUGUAGUACUUGAAUGAAAAUAUAUAUGCAGGGCCAAUUUUCCUUUAUGGAGUAGGAAAUACUCAAUUCUUAUUCGUAACAGAUAUAGACAUGGUAAAAGAAGUUAGUCUAAUAAGCACUUCUUUGAAUCUUGGAAGACCUCCUUAUCUCUCCAGGAAUUAUGGACCACUGUUUGGCCAGGGUAUUAUAUCCUCUAGUGGUCAAAUUUGGGCUCAUCAAAAAAAGAUUCUUGCUCCUGAAUUCUACAAUGACAAGGUCAAGGGUAUGGUGAACUUAUGGGUACCCAAUUUUGUGCGCAUGGGUGAGGACUCACACACUGGAUCACCACAUGCGCCCGCCGCCACCGUCCAUCCGGGCCGGGUUGGCGGAAUGUAUCGUACUUAUACAGAGGCUGUUUUAUCCUGGGGACGCCAUGGUUGCUAGACUGCCGUGCACACUUCGGGAAGAGCCGCGAAAACAUGUUAUCAUUGUUUAAUAUUUUCAUGUUAUGUUGUCAAUGUUUAGUUUUAUGUGAGCAGCAACAAUCAUAAUUGUUGUUAAUAUACAAAUGUAUUUAUUUAUAUAUCAGAUUCAUUCCAACAAUGAACAACAUUCAUGUGUGGAGACUAGAGAAACAAAUCAAUGCUAUGAUUUUAGAGGUUGUGAAGCAGAGAACUGAGGCUGCUGAUGAAAAGGAUCUUGUGCAGAUGAUAUUCGAGGGGGCAAAAGCUUAUGGCGGUAUAGAUAGCCCGUCUCUUGGCAUUACUCGGGACGGGAAAAAUGCAUUGUAGAUAACUGCAAGAAUAUAUAUUUUGCUGGCUAUGAGACCACUGAUACUACAGCAUCUUAGACCUUGUUGCUGCUGGCUGCAUAUCCAGCUUGGGAAACUUGUGUUUCGUGAAGAAGUGCAAGAAGUUUGCAAGAAUGGCGUUUUUUAUGCCAAUACUCUCCGGAACUUGAAAGUUCUCACUAUGGUGAUUCAAGAGACUUUGCGCCUUUACCCGCCUGGAGUUUUUAUCACAAGACACGCCUUGCACGAUAUUCAAUUUAAAGACAUUCUAGUUCCAAAAGGAGUAAAUAUUCAAAUUCCAAUCUCUAUAAUGCAACAAGACACUGAUCUGUGGGGUCCUGAUGCCCAACAAUUCAAUCCAGGAAGAUUUGAGCAUGGAGUUCUUGGAGCUUAAGUUUCCUCAAGCUUACAUGCCCUUUGGUGUAGGGACUAGAAUUUGUAUUGGACAGAACAUGGCCAUGACCGAGCUGAAAGUAGUAUUAUUUCUUAUUCUGUCCAAGUUUAGCUUCUCAGUCUCACCGGCUUACCGCCAUUCUGCUGUUUUCGGGGUAGUCAUUGAAUCGGAACAUGGGGUUAAUCUCCAAGUAAGGAGAAUUUGACUUAUGUUAAUCUACAAUUGAUUAUUUAUGAUAAACUAAAUAAUGCUGUCAUUAUGGAUAGUUCUUAUGAUGAUGCGUUCUUGCAUAUGGAAUUUUAAACAAUGAUAUUGUUUACAUCAGGAUUUGAUUUAUCUUCUUCUGUCCCUAAAUCAAAAAAGGGUCAUUUUCUAAACUAGCAAGCUUUCAUAAGAAUAAAUCCUUAGAAAUAUAAGUUUGCAAACAAACUUAUAUUUUAAAACAAUAAUGAUACUACUCCUUGGCUCAA